CUGGUGGGAGGCGAGGUACUGACGCUCUUUAGGACAAGGGAAGGUUCUUCUACGGCACCGUUUGUAAAAGGUUAAAAGGAAGAAAGCAAUCUUUGCCUGGAAGUCUCAGGAAUCAGCUGGGAAGGUGUUCUGUUCAUCUGACCUACUGGUUGGGCCCACAAUCAUUUGUGAGCACUUCUAUGACAGACCUAUUCUUGUGGGUGGAUGUCUGGAAGUGCCCUUGAGGUUCUGGUUCGAGACCCAAUACCUGGAGAAUUCCCAAAUUUCUCAGGUUUCAGGAAUCUGAGGACAAUCAACAAGGCAAGGUGUCACUCCACACCUGAUCAGUAUGACUCCAAUAUCCGGUCAGUGAUGCAGGUGCAGAGUGAAAACAGUCAGCACUUCCCGAAUCAGCUCCGAAAGGCUCCAUAGUCUUCCCCUGGCAUCUCUGGGAGACAUCACUGUGGUGAUUUUAGCAUGUGUUCUCAUCCUGAAUGCAUCGCUUAUGGAAGUGAAUGUAGUCCAUGCUCUUAUCAGUCUGGAGGAAGUUUAACUAUUAUUGGAGAGAGUCCACAAACUGCUCAGAGCCUCUAAAGUCUCAGGGACUCCUUCCUGAUCACAGCUGUACACCGUGGGACUGUUUGGUGGAGCAGACGGUGUCCUUAAACGGUGGGCUUCUUGGAGCUUUGAAGAUAUGGGGCGGCGGGCAGACACUAUGCAUCACGGAGAGAUGAGCAUCGCAAACAUGCUUUGCAGGGAAGGCAACCACAGCAGACUGCCAAUGCUCUUCCAGCGCCAAUUACAGCGAUGGUUUAAUCGUAAAAGCUGCUUCGUUAAAAUGAGAUCAGAGCCAAAGCGUUUGUGAUUUGGAGGCUUGUACUAACUUUUGGUAGUUAUCAUUGGGGGCAGCUGAUGUGACAUCACCCUACAACUCUAUGCGACUCGUAUUUUUAAUGGCCCACAGGCCUCUACAUGAUGAUUUUGCUGCUAGAGUUAGCUCAAGAGACAGAAAUACCAACAUCCGAUUGUGAAGACAUGUUGGGCAUUUGCAAUUGUUAUAGAAAUCGGAAGCAAUGACUGGAGCUUGCUCCCUCAUACCUCUAAAAUGGAAGUCUCUAUUUGCUACCUUCUGCCUUGAAGCUAAUACAAAGGAGUAGCUGAGAUAGCUGCUCUCUGACUCAGGAAGCCUCUUUAGGCUUAUUGUUUAAGUUCUCCAGAAACACAUUUUACUCUCAGAAAACAUUCUUAGUAUUAGAAAUAUAUGCUCCCUGCCCAUUUCUUCCAUAUGGUGCUGUUGAGACCAAAAGUGCCUGGAUAAAGCCUUGUACAGGGUGCUCCUGGAUGCUGACAAUGAAGGGGAAAACAUGAAGCAUUGGCUUGUGAUCGUGCUCUAUUGUGGUACACUUGGGAUUUUACUGUAGGCAAUAUAUGUUUGUAAGCUCCUUUUGGGAAGGGAGUUAAGACUUUUAUUUAAAUCUCACAGUGAAGAUGUUUUGACAUCUAAAGUUUAAGCUACUGUUUAGAUGACGUGAAGGUUACACUUUGGUGUCCGUUGCCUAAUCAGAAGUAUCCAUGUGAUGCAGAUUAGCAUCUGCUCAUACAUAAGUCAUGAGUUCAAAGAGUCAUUGCAAUCCUGUAUCAAUACAAUUAUCAAUAAUGGUAAUAAAAAUUAUUCAUACAAAGCCUCUUAAGGCA
rnacentral:lncRNA from 1 species